rnacentral:rRNA from 1 species
GAUGAACGCUGGCGGCGUGCCUAAUACAUGCAAGUCGAGCGAACAGACGAGGAUCUUGCUCCUCUUACGUUAGCGGCGGACGGGUGAGUAACACGUGGAUAACCUACCUAUAAUACUGGGAUAACUUCGGGAAACCGGAUCUAAUACCGGAUAAUAUAUUGAACCGCAUGGUUCAAUAGUGAAAGACGUUUUUUCUGUCUCUUAUAGAUGUUUCCGCGCCGCAUUAGCUAGUUGGUAAGGUAACGGCUUACCAAGGCAACGAUGCUUAGCCGACCUGAGAGGGGGAUCGGCAAAACAGGAACUGAGAAACGGAACAGAGACAGAGGGGAGGCAGGAGGAGGGAAGCUGGCGAAAAGGGGGAAAGACGGAAGGAGAAACGCGGCGAGAGUGAUGAAGGGCUACGGAUCGUAAAACUCUGUUAUGAGGGAAGAACAAAUGUGAAAGUAACUAUGCACGUAUUGACGGAACCUAAGCAGAAAGCCACGGCUAACUACGU